rnacentral:tRNA from 1 species
UUAGUUGAAGCUAAAGUUAGCAGCACUUCACUGUUAAUGAAUUUUAGAAUAGUCAUAUUCCAACUAAG